UACGGAGGAUGCGAGCGUUAUCCGGAUUUAUUGGGUUUAAAGGGUGCGCAGGCGGCCUGUUAAGUCAGCGGUAAAAGCCCGGGGCUCAACCCCGGCGAGCCGUUGAAACUGGCGGGCUGGAGUUGGAGAGAAGUACGCGGAAUGCGCGGUGUAGCGGUGAAAUGCUUAGAUAUCACGCAGAACCCCGAUUGCGAAGGCAGCCUUCCGGCGCCCUACUGACGCUGAGGCACGAAAGUGCGGGGAUCGAACAGG
rnacentral:rRNA from 1 species